rnacentral:rRNA from 1 species
AGUAGUUUGAUCAUGGCUCAGAACGAACGCUGGCGGCGUGCUUAACACAUGCAAGUCGAACGCGAAAGCCCGGGCAACUGGGCGAGUAGAGUGGCGCACGGGUGAGUAACACGUGAGUAACCUACCUUCGAGUGGGGAAUAACUCCUCGAAAGGGGAGCUAAUACCGCAUAAGACCACGACCUCUUCGGGGGUUGCGAUCAAAGGUGGCCUCAUCAAGCAGAGUGUUUGGGACGAUCUUCCCGAGCAGAGGAUAGUCCUUAGCGCUUUGCUCAGUGAAGCUGUUGCUCGAAGAGGGGCCCGCGUCCCAUCAGCUAGUUGGUAGGGUGACGGCCUACCAAGGCGACGACGGGUAGCUGGUCUGAGAGGACGACCAGCCACACGGGAAUUGAGAUACGGUCCCGACUCCUACGGGAGGCAGCAGUGGGGAAUCUUGGGCAAUGGGGGAAACCCUGACCCAGCGACGCCGCGUGGGGGAUGAAGGCUUUCGGGUCGUAAACCCCUGUUAGGUGGGACGAACGUCCUCCUGCAAUAGCUGGGGAUUUGACGGUACCACCAGAGAAAGCCCCGGCUAACUCCGUGCCAGCAGCCGCGGUAAUACGAGGGGCAGUGUUGUUCGGAAUUACUGGCCGUAAAGGGCGCGCAGGCGGCUGCAAGUCGAGUGUGAAAUCCUUGGCUUACUGAGGAAUGGCGCUCGAAACUACCUCGCUAGAGCGAAGAUGACUCUCGUGUAGGUGAAUCUGUAGAUUCGAAGACACCGUAGAUAUCRRGAGGAACACCGGUGGCGAAGGCGKCYWYCUGGCCCRWWHCUGACGCUGAGGCGCGAAAGCGUGGAGCACCAGAUAGAUACCUUGGUAGUCCACCGCCUAACGAUGGCAUAGUGUGCGUAUAAUCCGCUGUGCCGUAGCUAACGCAUUAAGUGCCCCGCUUGGGAGUACGGUCGCAAGCUUGAAACUCAAAGGAAUUGACGGGACCCGCACAAGCGGUGGAGCAUGUGGUUCAAUUCGACGCAACGCGAAAAACCUUACCUGGGUUUGACAUGUCGGUGGUAGGAAACCGAAAGGGGCCUGACCCGCAAGGGGAGCCGACACAGGUGCUGCAUGGCUGUCGUCAGCUCGUGUCGUGAGAUGUUGGGUUAAGUCCCGCAACGAGCGCAACCCUUGUCCCUAGUUGCUAACGGAUAAUGCUGAGCACUCUAGGGAGACUGCCGGUGGUAAACCGGAGGAAGGUGGGGAUGACGUCAAGUCCUCAUGGCCCUUACGUCUGGGGCUACACACGUGCUACAAUGGCCGGUACAGAGGGUUCCGAUACCGCGAGGUGGAGGCAAUCCCAAAAAACCGGUCUCAGUUCAGAUUGCAGGCUGAAACCCGCCUGCAUGAAGGCGGAGUUGCUAGUAACCGCUGGUCAGCACACAGCGGUGAAUACGUUCCCGGGCCUUGUACACACCGCCCGUCACGCUAUGGGAGUCGGUAACACCUGAAGUCGCUGAGCUAACCGCAAGGAGGCAGGCGCCGAGGGUGGGAUCGAUGACUGGAGCGAAGUCGUAACAAGGUAACCGUA